GAAGAGAGUGAGCAGGAUGCUGUGAGAGAGGGUUACUAUUCCAAGUGGCACCUGGGCCAGCAGCAUUGGCAUCACCUGGGACUUGUGAGAAAUCCAGCAUCUCAGGCUCUACUGCAGGUCUCCUAAAUCAGAAUCUACAGUUUAACAAGAUCCCCAGGAGAUGUGUGUGUAAAGUCAAGAACCUGUUGAGAGGAGCACCUAGCAUAAGACCUGGCUUGUGACAGCUGCUCCUGGCAUGCCCUUCUCCACUAAGCCAACUUGUUAAACCUCUUCACGGCUGAGAUCAUGCUACUUUCUUCUUCAGAUCUGCCACCCUGUAGCUGGGUGACUUUUAGACAAGUGAUCUGACCUCUCUGAGCCAGAGUUUCUACCUUGUAAAAAAAAAAAUCCCUUCCUGCAUGGUCAGCUGUCAUGAAAAGGACACAUGGUGAUGGGCAGACCAAGACAAGGCUUAGCUUCAUGUUUGACUCCUAGGAGCACCCAGUUCAUAGACGCUGCUGCUGUUACUAAUCUGUUUCCAUCUUCCCCUGGGAAUCCUGAGGUUUAUCUGUGAGUCUUUGGACUGCUGUAUGGACAACAUACUCUGCAGUAGCAUGAAGAAGUGAGUGAAGACCCUCCCUUGAACCAUGUGCACUGAAAGAACAGAAGUCACAUCUUGAUAUCUCAGUGCCUUUACAGUGCCAGGGAUGGGGUACAUGCUGAGCGCCUGGUAUGUGCUCACCCUAUGCUGUACAAAACACAGAAAGCCCCACAGGGUUUGAACUGUAAUUAGGUAGAGGGUGUGUGGGACUCCCCUUGGGUCUCU
rnacentral:lncRNA from 1 species